GAUGAACGCUGGCGGCGUGCCUAAUACAUGCAAGUCGAGCGAACGGACGAGAAGCUUGCUUCUCUGAUGUUAGCGGCGGACGGGUGAGUAACACGUGGAUAACCUACCUAUAAGACUGGGAUAACUUCGGGAAACCGUAGCUAAUACCGGAUAAUAUUUUGAACCGCAUGGUUCAAAAGUGAAAGACGGUCUUGCUGUCACUUAUAGAUGGAUCCGCGCCGCAUUAGCUAGUUGGUAAGGUAACGGCUUACCAAGGCAACGAUGCAUAGCCGACCUGAGAGGGUGAGCGGCCACACUGGAACUGAGACACGGUCCAGACUCCUACGGGAGGCAGCAGUAGGGAAUCUUCCGCAAUGGGCGAAAGCCUGACGGAGCAACGCCGCGUGAGUGAUGAAGGUCUUCGGAUCGUAAAACUCUGUUAUUAGGGAAGAACAUAUGUGUAAGUAACUGUGCACGUCUUGACGGUACCUAAUCAGAAAGCCACGGCUAACUACGUG
rnacentral:rRNA from 1 species